rnacentral:snRNA from 1 species
UCAAAUCCCACUCCGCACA